AUGACAUCGUGAUGACAUCGAUGAUGAAGAACUACCUGCACUGGAGGCUCAUCUUCCAUCAUG
rnacentral:tRNA from 1 species